rnacentral:rRNA from 1 species
UGGGGAAUAUUGGACAAUGGGCGAAAGCCUGAUCCAGCCAUGCCGCGUGUGUGAAGAAGGUCUUCGGAUUGUAAAGCACUUUAAGUUGGGAGGAAGGGCAUUAACCUAAUACGUUAGUGUUUUGACGUUACCGACAGAAUAAGCACCGGCUAACUCUGUGCCAGCAGCCGCGGUAAUACAGAGGGUGCAAGCGUUAAUCGGAAUUACUGGGCGUAAAGCUCGCGUAGGUGGUUUGUUAAGUUGGAUGUGAAAGCCCCGGGCUCAACCUGGGAACUGCAUCCAAAACUGGCAAGCUAGAGUACGGUAGAGGGUGGUGGAAUUUCCUGUGUAGCGGUGAAAUGCGUAGAUAUAGGAAGGAACACCAGUGGCGAAGGCGACCACCUGGACUGAUACUGACACUGAGGUGCGAAAGCGUGGGGAGCAAACA